GCAACCGCAGCGCGUCAGCAUGAAGUUGCAGCGCGUCCCUCUGAUUUCGUCACGUUCGAGAUUCGGCCAUUACUUAAUACGUAAUACGCACGUCGCGUCGCGAAUGCCGAGCGGUCCGUGGCUUCGUUCAACACAAUUUCAGUGCCGUUUCCUCGCCGCGGUAUAAUAAAUCGCGCACGUCGCGUGGUAAUGAAUAUCGCAGAGCCAAAUGGAGCUCAAUCGUGCCGGUCAUUGCGCGGUUCGAGCGGUUAAGAUAGGUAUGUAUGUAGGUAUGAACGAGAGUAAUGAUUCGGUAGGAAUUGUAAUAAUGAUUGCGUGCUUCACUGAGAUAUUUGAUAGCAAUCGCUACAAUGCGAGCGUGUAAUGCUCGCUACAUAAAAUCAGGAAAAUAUGCAUGAGAAUGUCGGCGGGAUCAGCAGGUUAGAUAUAGUCGGAGAGGUGGGAGGGGGAAGGGGAGGGAAGAAAGGGAGAGCGCGCGGGCGGCACAUGAGAUUGGCAAUACUUUUUGAUUUCGUCGUUCGCGUUGAGAUCCGCCCGUUAUGAUAAUUGAUGCACGCGUGUCGCCAACGCUGAGAGCGGACCGUGGCUUUGUGCAAUGUAGUUUCAUUGUCAUUUGCUCCCCGCGGUAUAAUAAAAUGCGCGUAUCGUGUGCAAUUAAUGUUAAGAGCGCUGUUGUCCUGUUGUGAUUAGUGUACGCGCGAUCGCGUUAACCGUGCCCUCGCGAGUGAAUAUUAUGUAAGUGUCCAUAAGGGGGAAGCAAUGGAGGGACAGAGAUUCGAGAGGAGGAGACCUGGGAGAAGAAAAGUGUGGUGUAACGACGGAGCAACCAUGAGAUUUAUAUACUUUGCUGCUCCACUUUGCGAGUGAAUAUUGUGUAAGUGCCCAUGAGGGAGAAGCAAUAGAAAUACAUAGAUCGAGAUAAAAUUCUGAGAGGAGGAGGAGGCCUGGGAGAAGGCGUCGUGCAACGGCGGAGCAAUCACGAGAUUUACGUACUCCGCUGCUGCGCAUCGUAUUGG
rnacentral:lncRNA from 13 species